CCUACGGGAGGCUGCAGUGAGGAAUAUUGGUCAAUGGGCGCGAGCCUGAACCAGCCAAGUAGCGUGAAGGAUGACUGCCCUACGGGUUGUAAACUGCUUUUGUACGAGGGUAAACGCAGAUACGCGUAUCUGUCUGAAAGUAUCGUACGAAUAAGGAUCGGCUAACUCCGUGCCAGCAGCCGCGGUAAUACGGAGGAUUCGAGCGUUAUCCGGAUUUAUUGGGUUUAAAGGGUGCGUAGGUGGGUGGUUAAGUUAGAUGUGAAAGUCCGAGGCUCAACUUUGGAAUUGCAACUGAUACUGGUAGGCUAGAGAGCAGUUGCGGUAGGCGGAAUGUAUGGUGUAGCGGUGAAAUGCUUAGAGAUCAUACAGAACACCGAUUGCGAAGGCAGCCUACUAAGCUACCUCUGACAUUGAGGCACGAAAGUGUGGGGAGCAAACAGGAUUAGAUACCCGAGUAGUC
rnacentral:rRNA from 1 species